GAUGAAGAACGCAGCGAAAUGCGAUAAGUAAUGUGAAUUGCAGAAUUCAGUGAAUCAUCGAAUCUUUGAACGCACAUUGCGCCCGCCAGUAUUCUGGCGGGCAUGCCUGUCCGAGCGUCAUUUCAACCCUCAAACCCCUCCGGGGGGUCGGCGUUGGGGACCUCGGGAGCCCCUAAGACGGGAUCCCGGCCCCGAAAUACAGUGGCGGUCUCGCCGCAGCCUCUCCUGCGCAGUAGUUUGCACAACUCGCACCGGGAGCGCGGCGCGUCCACGUCCGUAAAACACCCAACUUCUGAAAUGUUGACCUCGGAUCAGGUAGGAAUACCCGCUGAACUUAAGCAUAUCAAUAAGCGGAGGA
rnacentral:misc_RNA from 1 species